rnacentral:rRNA from 1 species
UAAUACGGAGGGUGCGAGCGUUAAUCGGAAUUACUGGGCGUAAAGCGUGCGUAGGUGGCUUAGUAAGUCGGAUGUGAAAGCCCUGGGCUCAACCUGGGAACUGCAUUCGAUACUGCUAGGCUAGAGUAUGGUAGAGGGAAGUGGAAUUUCCGGUGUAGCGGUGAAAUGCGUAGAUAUCGGAAGGAACACCAGUGGCGAAGGCGGCUUCCUGGACCAAUACUGACACUGAGGUACGAAAGCGUGGGGAGCAAACAGGAUUAGAUACCCUGGUAGUCCACGCCCUAAACGAUGUCAACUAGCCGUUGGGGGAAUUUAAUCCUUUAGUGGCGCAGCUAACGCGUUAAGUUGACCGCCUGGGGAGUACGAUCGCAAGAUUA